GACAGAGGGUGCAAACGUUGUUCGGAAUUACUGGGCGUAAAGCGCGUGUAGGCGGCUAUGCAAGUCGGAUGUGAAAGCCCUCGGCUCAACCGGGGAAGUGCACCCGAAACUGCAAAGCUAGAGUCUCGGAGAGGAUCGUGGAAUUCUCGGUGUAGAGGUGAAAUUCGUAGAUAUCGAGAGGAACACCGGUGGCGAAGGGCGGCGAUCUGGACGAUGACUGACGCUGAGACGCGAAAGCGUGGGGAGCAAACAGG
rnacentral:rRNA from 1 species